AGCUCACAGGUUAGCUAAAAGUAAAAUGAGUUUCGUGAAAGAAGGACCCAAAUUUUAGGGAUCAGCUCGGGAGAACUUCUGGACGCAAUUUUUGAAGAUAUUAAACAAUUAAUGGAAGGUCUCUAUAAUGCUAUUCAGCUGCUCAACGAAUCAAGCGAAACAACCAACAAGGUUGCAGCUUUAGAGAGUAUUUGUCAUUGUUUUUCUUUGGCCAAGAACUCUGGUCAACUUUUGGCUACUCAAAAAGAGUUUUUUAAAGUGCUCUGCAAGGACCAAUCUACGAUCAUUUCAAUAUGUGACCUUUUGAAACUGAGAAAGGAAGAGCAUUAUGUGGUUUCCAAUAAUAAAGCAACAUUUAUACCAGUGAUGGCAUGGGACAUUUUGUUCUCCAUUUGCAACAAGGAUAAAAAUUCGAUGUUAAUGGGUUGCAUGAUGGAAAACGGUGCAAUUGGGGCAAUCCUACUGCAUCUUCCUACACUUUAUCGCGAUAAUGAUGGUAGUAUUAUACACGUUGCUGUUUCUAUAUUGAAUUUGUUCAUUUUAGCAGAUUUCAAGGAUACAAGGUUCUUCGAACGAAGCAUCAAAUGGAAAGGUGACAUUUUUUCCAAUUUUCCGGCUAUUUUAAAAACUGUAGAAAGGUUGGAAAUGUGCAAGAACGAACGACUUUAUAGGUCAGUCUAUUUCAUAUUCGCAUCAUGUUUGAGCUUCGACGACAUUAAUUACUGUAAGUCCAUGGUGAGGUCCCAAAUAAAGGAUGGAACAGUUUGCAAGUUCUUCAUGCUAAUCAGUGAUCUAAUGAACUAUGAUGGUGAGUUUGUGGAAUUUAUCAUAAUCAGAGUGGUUAUCAUUUUUAAUUUGAUAAGUCAGUGUGAUCAGAAUACUGUCCACGAAAAACCUAAUCAUGGACUUGAUGCUGAACGACGGGUUUUGAAUGAAUUGGCAAUCAAACAUUUAACCACAAUUGCAAAAGAUGACAUUGCAUUUCAAAUAACACUGUUGAACAUGACUGAAUAUGAUGAAAAAGAUCGUGAAUUAUUUGUGAGAGAAAAACUAUUUAAACAAUUAACAUCACAUUUGGCUGUUGAACUGCGCUCAAAAAAGAUGCAUUAUGAAAGAAUGACUGGUUUAGUUCAGAUGCUGGGUAUAAUGUACCAUGACCACAAUCUUAAAGAUUCCAUUAUUUACGAAGAUUUUCGUUGUUUGAAACGAUACUUUCCAUUAUUAAUAGAUUCUCAGAAACAUUCUGUUGAUUUUCUGAAAAAAUCAUUAUUGCUAACUUGGUGUCUCAUUCAUGACAGUGGAUUUUUCAAAGAAGAGGACUUCAGUCAACUCAGAGCCUCAGGGUUUAUUGUUCUAUUAAUCCAAAAUGCUAAGAUAUUUCAUGGUGAUUACACCGAAAGAUGGCUUGUUUGGGGAAUGAUUUCGGCUUGCUUCUCUCCAGAACCUGAUUCACAACACCGUAUUUCUUUGGAAGACAUCAGCCAAAUCUUACCUGGUAUACCCCUGUGCAUGGAAUUGAUUUUACAGAAAGAAUUUGAUGACGAAUUACAGUACAACACAAGAAGACUGUUAUUGAUUGUUGUGAGCAAUUUAGUGCAUAUCAAAGAUAAGGGAUGCAGUCGAAUCGACUCAGUUUUGCAUGCUUUUGAAGAAUGCAACUUUAUUCCUGGGAUCGGAAAAGCCCUAAUUCUCAUCGAGGACACAGAUGCAGAGGCAACACAUCAGCUUGUUCAUACGAUAUUUGGUAUGGAUGAUUUGAUGGAUAGCAGGGAUCUUAUGGAGAAAUUACUCGACUUUUUACCGGCCCUGGCUAAAAAGCAGCAGCGCAUUUGUGAAUACACUGAUGCUGGACAGCACCUAGGAACACUAAUUGCAUCUCUCUUAAGGAAGGCUGCUGCCUAUGUUUUAGAUGAUAUUAAUCCAACUUUUUUUUCUGAAACUUUGGUUUGGAAGGUUACUGGUAUGUGGAAGUUUUUAAGAAUUUCAGGUAAAAAAAAGUUCUUUUCGUCAGAUCUAUUGAAAACUGAGGAAAAUUUUGAGAUUCACAUGGAAACGUUUAUAGAUGUUCUGAGGGCAACAUGGACAAUGGUUGACAAAUACCCGGAACUCAUAUGCUCUCAUCUCGCCAAAUUUAAUACUUCUUUGUUUGGGGAAAAUCCAGGCCUUCAAGAAACAUGUUCGACUAUGUCAGCACUGAUAAUCGAAAUUAUUAUCUCCUACCUUGAUCAUUCUCAAGAUUGCAGCUUGAACUUCCUUAGAGAGUUGUCCUCUUUCAUCAAAGACUUAUCACAUGAAGCUGUCAGUUCUGAAAUGAACAGAGUAAUGUUUAGUGGUUUACCUCGAGCAUGUGAACGUUUUCUGAAAGUGGACAGCGAUAAAGUGACAAGUCCUAAUUUAAAGUAUUUUAUUAAUGUAUAUAACUAUACUAGCCUAGACUAGAGUAACUAAAG